rnacentral:rRNA from 1 species
ACGAACGCUGGCGGCGUGCUUAACACAUGCAAGUCGCACGGAAAGGCCCUGCUUUUGUGGGGUGCUCGAGUGGCGAACGGGUGAGUAACACGUGAGUAACCUGCCCUUGACUUUGGGAUAACUUCAGGAAACUGGGGCUAAUACCGGAUAGGAGCUCCUGCUGCAUGGUGGGGGUUGGAAAGUUUCGGCGGUUGGGGAUGGACUCGCGGCUUAUCAGCUUGUUGGUGGGGUAGUGGCUUACCAAGGCUUUGACGGGUAGCCGGCCUCAGAGGGUGACCGGCCACAUUGGGACUGAGAUACGGCCCAGACUCCUACGGGAGGCAGCAGUGGGGAAUAUUGCACAAUGGGCGGAAGCCUGAUGCAGCAACGCCGCGUGCGGGAUGACGGCCUUCGGGUUGUAAACCGCUUUCGCCUGUGACGAAGCGUGAGUGACGGUAAUGGGUAAAGAAGCACCGGCUAACUACGUG